ensembl:misc_RNA Metazoa_SRP Metazoan signal recognition particle RNA
GCCAGGCAUGGUGGUGCAUGCCUGUAAUCCCAGCUACUUGGGAGGCUGAGCCAGGAGAAUCGCUUGAACCCAGGAGGCAGAGGUUGCAGUGAGAUCGUACCACUUCACCCCAACCUGGGUAACAGAGUGAGACCCUGUCUCAA